rnacentral:snRNA from 1 species
AAUGUUCACAAACUGCAAGUGUAU